GAGCUCAAAUUUAAAAUCUGGCUGGUUUACUAGUCCGAAUUGUAGUUUAAAGAAGCGUUUUCGGUGGCAGCCUGGGUAUAAAUCCUUUGGAACAGGGUAUCAUAGAGGGUGAGAAUCCCGUCUUUGACUCAGUGCAUGCUACUAUGUGAUACGUUUUCAAAGAGUCGAGUUGUUUGGGAAUGCAGCUCAAAAUGGGUGGUAAAUUUCAUCUAAAGCUAAAUAUUGGCGAGAGACCGAUAGCGAACAAGUACCGUGAGGGAAAGAUGAAAAGAACUUUGAAAAGAGAGUUAAACAGUGCGUGAAAUUGUUGAAAGGGAAACGCUUGACACCAGUCAUGCGAGCGGAAAAUCAGUCUUUUGCAGUGGGGAGUUGUGUGGGUUCGGACCGCAAGGCCGGCCUGCGCUGCAUCUCUGCUGUAAGUGAUGCACUUUUUCGUUUGCAGGCCAACAUCAGUUUCUUCUGCUGGACAAAACUCUUGAGAAGGUGGCAGCUUAGGCUGUGUUAUAGCUCUUGAGCGAUACAGUGGAGGGGACUGAGGUUUUCGCAGCGCGUGCUCUCGGGCAAGGCUGAUUGGGUGCUAUGGGAUCGUUCGGUGUACAAUGCAUGCAUUUUGCGCCGUGUCUUUUCUAUACUCGCUCAACUCGGCUCUUCCGCGCUUAGGA
rnacentral:rRNA from 1 species